rnacentral:rRNA from 1 species
UACGUAGGGCGCGAGCGUUGUCCGGAAUUAUUGGGCGUAAAGAGCUCGUAGGCGGCCUGUCGCGUCCGCUGUGAAAGCCCGGGGCUCAACCCCGGGAGGCGGGCGGAUACUGUCGGGCUAGAGUCCGGAAGAGGCGAGUGGAAUUCCUGGUGUAGCGGUGAAAUGCGCAGAUAUCAGGAGGAACACCAAUGGCGAAGGCAGCUCGCUGGGACGGUACUGACGCUGAGACGCGAAAGCGUGGGGAGCAAACAGG